AGCAGGUCAGGUGAUCGCCCGGAAUAUUGUAUUCCGGGAGGAAAGUCCGGACUCCACAGGGCAGGACGGCCGUUAACAGCGGCUCCGGGUGACCGGAGGAAAGUGCCACAGAAAAGACACAGCCAAUCCGUCCCGCCACGGCGGGAGUCAUGGAGGCAACGGUGAAAAGGUGGGUCAGCCGCAGGCUGAAUAAUGUAAGAGCCCACCGGUGUUCGGGCAACCGGGCAGCCUGGUAAACCCCGUCCGGAGCAAGACCAAGUAGGAGGGGAUGUCCUCCUUACAGAGGAGAAGGAAGCGGCCCGCUUCCGUUAACCCUCGGGUGGGUCGCAAGAGCCUGAUGGCAACAUCGGGUCGAGAUAAAUGAUCGCCACUCCGGUUAUUCCGGAGGACAGAAUUCGGCUUAUCGACCCGCUUC
rnacentral:RNase_P_RNA from 1 species